AGAGUUUGAUCCUGGCUCAGGAUGAACGCUGGCGGCGUGCCUAAUACAUGCAAGUCGAGCGAACAGAUAAGGAGCUUGCUCCUUUGACGUUAGCGGCGGACGGGUGAGUAACACGUGGGUAACCUACCUAUAAGACUGGGAUAACUUCAGGAAACCGGAGCUAAUACCGGAUAACAUUUGGAACCGCAUGGUUCUAAAGUGAAAGAUGGUUUUGCUAUCACUUAUAGAUGGACCCGCGCCGUAUUAGCUAGUUGGUAAGGUAACGGCUUACCAAGGCGACGAUACGUAGCCGACCUGAGAGGGUGAUCGGCCACACUGGAACUGAGACACGGUCCAGACUCCUACGGGAGGCAGCAGUAGGGAAUCUUCCGCAAUGGGCGAAAGCCUGACGGAGCAACGCCGCGUGAGUGAUGAAGGGUUUCGGCUCGUAAAACUCUGUUAUUAGGGAAGAACAAACGUGUAAGUAACUGUGCACGUCUUGACGGUACCUAAUCAGAAAGCCACGGCUAACUACGUGCCAGCAGCCGCGGUAAUACGUAGGUGGCAAGCGUUAUCCGGAAUUAUUGGGCGUAAAGCGCGCGUAGGCGGUUUCUUAAGUCUGAUGUGAAAGCCCACGGCUCAACCGUGGAGGGUCAUUGGAAACUGGGAAACUUGAGUGCAGAAGAGGAAAGUGGAAUCCCAUGUGUAGCGGUGAAAUGCGCAGAGAUAUGGAGGAACACCAGUGGCGAAGGCGACUUUCUGGUCUGUAACUGACGCUGAUGUGCGAAAGCGUGGGGAUCAAACAGGAUUAGAUACCCCGGUAGUCC
rnacentral:rRNA from 1 species